rnacentral:rRNA from 1 species
UACGGGGGGGGCAAGCGUUGUUCGGAAUUACUGGGCGUAAAGGGCUCGUAGGCUGCCAACUAAGUCAGACGUGAAAUCCCUCGGCUUAACCGGGGAACUGCGUCUGAUACUGGAUGGCUUGAGAUUGGGAGAGGGGUGCGGAAUUCCAGGUGUAGCGGUGAAAUGCGUAGAUAUCUGGAGGAACACCGGUGGCGAAGGCGGCAUCCUGGACCAACACUGACGCUGAUGAGCGAAAGCCAGGGGAGCAAACGGG